GAUGAACGCUGGCGGCGUGCUUAACACAUGCAAGUCGAACGGAAAGGCUCCUGCUUGCAGGGGUACUCGAGUGGCGAACGGGUGAGUAACACGUGGGUGAUCUGCCCUGCACUUCGGGAUAAGCCUGGGAAACUGAGUCUAAUACCGGAUAGGACGAUGGUUUGGAUGCCAUUGUGGAAAGUUUUUCGGUGUGGGAUGAGCUCGCGGCCUAUCAGCUUGUUGGUGGGGUAAUGGCCUACCAAGGCGUCGACGGGUAGCCGGCCUGAGAGGGUGUACGGCCACAUUGGGACUGAGAUACGGCCCAGACUCCUACGGGAGGCAGCAGUGGGGAAUAUUGCACAAUGGGCGCAAGCCUGAUGCAGCGACGCCGCGUGGGGGAUGACGGCCUUCGGGUUGUAAACUCCUUUCGCUAGGGACGAAGCGCAAGUGACGGUACCUGGAGAAGAAGCACCGGCUAACUACGU
rnacentral:rRNA from 1 species